CCUACGGGUGGCUGCAGUAGGGAAUCUUCCACAAUGGGCGAAAGCCUGAUGGAGCAACGCCGCGUGGGUGAAGAAGGUCUUCGGAUCGUAAAACCCUGUUGUUCGAGAAGCAAGUGCGUGAGAGUAACUGUUCACGUUUCGACGGUAUCUAACCAGAACGCCACGGCUAACUACGUGCCACCAGCCGCGGGAAUACGUAGGUGGGAAGCGUUAUCCGGCUUUGUUGGGCGUGAAGGGCACGCAGGCGGGCUUGUAAGUCUGAUGUGAAAGCCUUCGGCUUAACCGGAGUAGUGCAUUGGAAACUGGGAGACUUGAGUGCAGAAGAGGAGAGUGGAACUCGAUGUGUAGCGGGGAAAUGCGUAGAUAUAUGGCAGAACACCAGUGGCGAAAGCGGCUCUCUGGUCUGUAACUGACGCUGAGGUUCGAAAGCGUGGGUAGCAAACAGGAUUAGAUACCCGGGUAGUC
rnacentral:rRNA from 1 species